GGUUAAGUGACUAAGCGUACACGGUGGAUGCCUUGGCAGUCAGAGGCGAUGAAAGACGUAGUAACUUGCGAUAAGCCCAGAUUAGGUAGUAACAACCAUUUGAGUCUGGGAUUUCUGAAUGGGGAAACCCACUUACAUAAGUAAGUAUCAUUAACUGAAUACAUAGGUUAAUGAGGCGAACCGGGGAACUGAAACAUCUAAGUACCCCGAGGAAAAGAAAUCAACCGAGAUUCCGAAAGUAGCGGCGAGCGAAAUUGGACUAGCCCUUAAGCUUUACACGCGUUAGACGAACGGUCUGGAAAGUCCGACGAUACAGGGUGAUAGUCCCGUAGUUGACGACGUGUGUUCAGUGAAAUCGAGUAGGGCGGGACACGUGAUAUCCUGUCUGAAUAUGGGGGACCAUCCUCCAAGGCUAAAUACUACUGACUGACCGAUAGUGAACCAGUACCGUGAGGGAAAGGCGAAAAGAACCCCUGUGAGGGGAGUGAAAUAGAACCUGAAACCGUGUACGUACAAGCAGUAGGAGCAGGCUUUGUCCUGUGACUGCGUACCUUUUGUAUAAUGGGUCAGCGACUUAUAUUCAGUGGCAAGGUUAACCAUCUAGGGGAGCCGUAGGGAAACCGAGUCUUAACUGGGCGUUCAGUCUCUGGAUAUAGACCCGAAACCAGGUGAUCUAGCCAUGGGCAGGUUGAAGGUUGAGUAACAUCAACUGGAGGACCGAACCGACUAAUGUUGAAAAAUUAGCGGAUGACUUGUGGCUAGGGGUGAAAGGCCAAUCAAACCUGGAGAUAGCUGGUUCUCCCCGAAAGCUAUUUAGGUAGCGCCUCGGACGAAUACUACUGGGGGUAGAGCACUGUUAAGGCUAGGGGUCAUCCCGACUUACCAACCCUUUGCAAACUCCGAAUACCAGUAAGUACUAUCCGGGAGACACACGGCGGGUGCUAACGUCCGUCGUGGAGAGGGAAACAACCCAGACCGCCAGCUAAGGUCCCAAAUUACUACUAAGUGGGAAACGAUGUGGGAAGGCUCAGACAGCCAGGAUGUUGGCUUAGAAGCAGCCAUCAUUUAAAGAAAGCGUAAUAGCUCACUGGUCGAGUCGGCCUGCGCGGAAGAUGUAACGGGGCUAAGUAGUAAACCGAAGCUGCGGCAAUGUGCUUUUGCACAUUGGGUAGGGGAGCGUUCUGUAAGCGGUUGAAGGUGUGUGGUAACGCAUGCUGGACGUAUCAGAAGUGCGAAUGCUGACAUGAGUAACGAUAAAGGGGGUGAAAAACCUCCUCGCCGGAAGACCAAGGGUUCCUGUCCAACGUUAAUCGGGGCAGGGUAAGUCGACCCCUAAGGCGAGGCCGAAAGGCGUAGUCGAUGGGAAACGGGUUAAUAUUCCCGUACUUCUUACAAUUGCGAUGGGGGGACGGAGAAGGCUAGGUGGGCCUGGCGACGGUUGUCCAGGUUCAAGUGCGUAGGCUUAAGAGUUAGGUAAAUCCGGCUCUUUCUAAGGCUGAGACACGACGUCGAGCACCUACGGGUGUGAAGUCAUUGAUGCCAUGCUUCCAGGAAAAGCCUCUAAGCUUCAGAUUGUAAGGAAUCGUACCCCAAACCGACACAGGAGGUCGGGUAGAGAAUACCAAGGCGCUUGAGAGAACUCGGGUGAAGGAACUAGGCAAAAUGGUACCGUAACUUCGGGAGAAGGUACGCUCUUGAUGGUGAAGUCCCUUGCGGAUGGAGCUGACGAGAGUCGCAGAUACCAGGUGGCUGCAACUGUUUAUUAAAAACACAGCACUGUGCAAAAUCGUAAGAUGACGUAUACGGUGUGACGCCUGCCCGGUGCCGGAAGGUUAAUUGAUGGGGUUAGACUUCGGUCGAAGCUCUUGAUCGAAGCCCCGGUAAACGGCGGCCGUAACUAUAACGGUCCUAAGGUAGCGAAAUUCCUUGUCGGGUAAGUUCCGACCUGCACGAAUGGCGUAAUGAUGGCCACGCUGUCUCCACCCGAGACUCAGUGAAAUUGAAAUCGCUGUGAAGAUGCAGUGUACCCGCGGCUAGACGGAAAGACCCCGUGAACCUUUACUACAGCUUGGCACUGAACAUUGACCCUACAUGUGUAGGAUAGGUGGGAGGCUUUGAAGCACGUACGCCAGUAUGUGUGGAGCCGUCCUUGAAAUACCACCCUUGUAGUGUUGAUGUUCUAACGUCGACCCCUUAUCGGGGUUACGGACAGUGCCUGGUGGGUAGUUUGACUGGGGCGGUCUCCUCCCAAAGAGUAACGGAGGAGCACGAAGGUGGGCUAAUCACGGUUGGACAUCGUGAGGUUAGUGCAAUGGCAUAAGCCCGCUUGACUGCGAGAAUGACAAUUCGAGCAGGUGCGAAAGCAGGUCAUAGUGAUCCGGUGGUUCUGAAUGGAAGGGCCAUCGCUCAACGGAUAAAAGGUACUCCGGGGAUAACAGGCUGAUACCGCCCAAGAGUUCAUAUCGACGGCGGUGUUUGGCACCUCGAUGUCGGCUCAUCACAUCCUGGGGCUGAAGUCGGUCCCAAGGGUAUGGCUGUUCGCCAUUUAAAGUGGUACGCGAGCUGGGUUUAGAACGUCGUGAGACAGUUCGGUCCCUAUCUGCCGUGGGCGUUGGAAGAUUGAAGGGGCUGCUCCUAGUACGAGAGGACCGGAGUGGACGAACCUCUGGUGUUCGGGUUGUGUCGCCAGACGCAUUGCCCGGUAGCUAAGUUCGGAAUCGAUAACCGCUGAAAGCAUCUAAGCGGGAAGCGAGGCCCUGAGAUGAGUCUUCCCUGAUACUUUAAGUAUCCUAAAGGGUUGUCGGAGACUACGACGUUGAUAGGUCAGGUGUGUAAGUGCUGUGAGGCAUUGGGCUAACUGAUACUAAUUGCCCGUGAGGCUUAACCAU
rnacentral:rRNA from 1 species